GAGGAAGGGGGGGAUUNAUNAUAACUUUUCGAAUCGCAUGGCCUUGCGCCGGCGAUGGUUCAUUCAAAUUUCUUCCCUAUCAACUUUCGAUGUUUGGGUAUUGGCCAAACAUGGUCGCAACGGGUAACGGAGGGUUAGGGCUCGACCCCGGAGAAGGAGCCUGAGAAACGGCUACUACAUCCAAGGAAGGCAGCAGGCGCGCAAAUUACCCAAUCCCGAUUCGGGGAGGUAGUGACAAUAAAUACUGAUACAGGGCUCUUUUGGGUCUUGUAAUUGGAAUGAGUACAAUUUAAAUCCCUUAACGAGGAACAAUUGGAGGGCAAGUCUGGUGCCAGCAGCCGCGGUAAUUCCAGCUCCAAUAGCGUAUAUUAAAGUUGUUGUGGUUAAAAAGCUCGUAGUUGAACCUUGGGCCUGGCUGGCCGGUCCGCCUCACCGCGUGUACUGGUCCGGCCGGGCCUUUCCCUCUGUGGAACCUCAUGCCCUUCACUGGGUGUGGCGGGGAAACAGGACUUUUACUUUGAAAAAAUUAGAGUGCUCCAGGCAGGCCUAUGCUCGAAUACAUUAGCAUGGAAUAAUGAAAUAGGACGUGUGGUUCUAUUUUGUUGGUUUCUAGGACCGCCGUAAUGAUUAAUAGGGACAGUCGGGGGCAUCAGUAUUCAAUUGUCAGAGGUGAAAUUCUUGGAUUUAUUGAAGACUAACUACUGCGAAAGCAUUUGCCAAAGGAUGUUUUCAUUAAUCANGAACGAAAGGUAG
rnacentral:rRNA from 2 species